AUUGAACGCUGGCGGCAGGCCUAACACAUGCAAGUCGAGCGCGAAAGUUCUUCGGAAUGAGUAAAGCGGCGGACGGGUGAGUAAUGCAUGGGAAUCUGCCUGGUAGUGGGGGACAACGUCUCGAAAGGGACGCUAAUACCGCAUACGCCCUACGGGGAAAGGGGGGGAUCUUCGGACCUCUCGCUAUCAGAUGAGCCCAUGUCAGAUUAGCUAGUUGGUGGGGUAAAGGCCUACCAAGGCGACGAUCUGUAACUGGUCUGAGAGGAUGAUCAGUCACACUGGAACUGAGACACGGUCCAGACUCCUACGGGAGGCAGCAGUGGGGAAUAUUGGACAAUGGGCGAAAGCCUGAUCCAGCCAUGCCGCGUGUGUGAAGAAGGCCUUAGGGUUGUAAAGCACUUUCAGUGGGGAGAAAGGCUGUUUACUUAAUACGUAAGCAGAUUGAUGUUACCCACAGAAGAAGCACCGGCUAACUCCGUG
rnacentral:rRNA from 1 species